CCCUUAGAGUUUGAUCCUGGCUCAGGAUGCUUUCUGACAGAAUGCUUAACACAUGCAAGUCGAUUCGAUUUACCUUCGGGUAUUGAGGAUGGCGGACGGGUGAGUAACGCGUAAGGAACUUGCCUCUUGGACUGGGACAACUGUUGGAAACGACAGCUAAUACCGGAUAUUAUGAGAUUCUCGCAUGAGAAACUUAUGAAAGCUAUAUGCGCCAAGAGAGAGCCUUGCGUUCCAUUAGCUAGUUGGUGGGGUAAUGGCCCACCAAGGCGACGAUGGAUAGCCGGCCUGAGAGGGUGAACGGCCACAAGGGGACUGAGACACGGCCCUUACUCCUACGGGAGGCAGCAGUGGGGAAUAUUGGACAAUGGGCCACAAGCCUGAUCCAGCAAUUCUGUGUGCACGAUGAAGGUCCUCGGAUUGUAAAGUGCUUUCAGUUGGGAAGAAGAAAGUGACGGUACCAACAGAAGAAGCGACGGCUAAAUACGUGCCAGCAGCCGCGGUAAUACGUAUGUCGCAAGCGUUAUCCGGAUUUAUUGGGCGUAAAGCGCGUCUAGGCGGAAAAAUAAGUCUGAUGUUAAAAUGCGGGGCUCAACUCCGUAUUGCGUUGGAAACUGUUUUUCUAGAGUACUGGAGAGGUGGGCGGAACUACAAGUGUAGAGGUGAAAUUCGUAGAUAUUUGUAGGAAUGCCGAUGGAGAAGUCAGCUCACUGGACAGAUACUGACGCUGAAGCGCGAAAGCGUGGGGAGCAAACAGGAUUAGAUACCCUGGUAGUCCACGCCGUAAAC
rnacentral:rRNA from 1 species